rnacentral:rRNA from 1 species
UACAGAGGUCCCAAGCGUUGUUCGGAUUCACUGGGCGUAAAGGGUGCGUAGGCGGUCGGGUAAGUCUGACGUGAAAUCUUCAAGCUCAACUUGGAAACUGCGUCCGAUACUAUUCGGCUAGAGGAAUGGAGGGGAGACUGGAAUACUUGGUGUAGCAGUGAAAUGCGUAGAUAUCAAGUGGAACACCAGUGGCGAAGGCGAGUCUCUGGACAUUUCCUGACGCUGAGGCACGAAAGCCAGGGGAGCAAACGGG